UACGUAGGGUGCAAGCGUUGUCCGGAAUUAUUGGGCGUAAAGAGCUCGUAGGCGGUCUGUCACGUCGGCUGUGAAAACCCGGGGCUCAACCCCGGGCCUGCAGUCGAUACGGGCAGACUAGAGUGCGGUAGGGGAGACUGGAAUUCCUGGUGUAGCGGUGAAAUGCGCAGAUAUCAGGAGGAACACCAGUGGCGAAGGCGGUCUCCUGGGGCAUACUUGACGCUGAGGCGCGAAAGCUGGGGGAGCGAACGGG
rnacentral:rRNA from 1 species